rnacentral:rRNA from 1 species
GACGAACGCUGGCGGCGCGCCUAACACAUGCAAGUCGAACGGAGCGUACUGUGUGAAGCCCUUCGGGGUGGAACUUUGUAUUGCUUAGUGGCGAACGGGUGAGUAACACGUGAGCAACCUGCCCUAGAGUGGGGGACAACAUUUGGAAACGAAUGCUAAUACCGCAUAAGACCACGGUGUCACAUGACACAGCGGCCAAAGGAUUUAUUCGCUUUAGGAUGGGCUCGCGUCUGAUUAGCUAGAUGGUGGGGUAACGGCUCACCAUGGCGACGAUCAGUAGCCGGACUGAGAGGUCGAUCGGCCACAUUGGGACUGAGAUACGGCCCAGACUCCUACGGGAGGCAGCAGUGGGGAAUAUUGGGCAAUGGGGGAAACCCUGACCCAGCGACGCCGCGUGAGUGAAGACGGCCUUCGGGUUGUAAAGCUCUGUUUCGAGGGACGAUAAUGACGGUACCUCGGGAGGAAGCCACGGCUAACUACGUGCCAGCCGCCGCAGUAAGAC